rnacentral:rRNA from 1 species
GUGGCAGCAGCCGCGGUAAGACGGAGGGGGCGAGCGUUGUCCGGAAUUACUGGGCGUAAAGGGCGCGUAGGCGGUUACGUACGGCGGUGGUGAAAGCUCCCGGCUCAACUGGGAGAGGCCCGCCGCAACGGCGUGACUCGAGGGUGGUAGAGGCGGAUGGAAUUCCUGGUGUAACGGUGAAAUGUGUAGAGAUCAGGAGGAACACCCGUGGCGAAGGCGGUCCGCUGGGCCAUGCCUGACGCUGAGGCGCGAAAGCCAGGGGAGCGAACGGGAUUAGAUACCCCGGUAGUCC